UACAGAGGUCUCAAGCGUUGUUCGGAUUCAUUGGGCGUAAAGGGUGCGUAGGCGGCGCGGUAAGUCGGGGGUGAAAUCUCGGAGCUUAACUCCGAAACUGCCUUUAAAACUGCAUCGCUUGAAUCCAGGAGAGGUGAGUGGAAUUCCGAGUGUAGAGGUGAAAUUCGUAGAUAUUCGGAAGAACACCAGUGGCGAAGGCGGCUCACUGGACUGGUAUUGACGCUGAGGUGCGAAAGCGUGGGGAGCAAACAGG
rnacentral:rRNA from 1 species